rnacentral:rRNA from 1 species
AUUGAACGCUGGCGGCAGGCCUAACACAUGCAAGUCGAGCGAGCGGCGGACGGGUGAGUAAUGUCUGGGAAACUGCCUGAUGGAGGGGGAUAACUACUGGAAACGGUAGCUAAUACCGCAUACCAUCAGAUGUGCCCAGAUGGGAUUAGCUAGUAGGUGGGGUAACGGUCCACCUAGGCGACGAUCCGUAACUGGUCUGAGAGGAUGAUCAGUCACACUGGAACUGAGACACGGUCCAGACUCCUACGGGAGGCAGCAGUGGGGAAUAUUGGACAAUGGGCGAAAGCCUGAUCCAGCCAUGCCGCGUGUGUGAAGAAGGUCUUCGGAUUGUAAAGUACUUUCAGCGGGGAGGCGUUACCCGCAGAAGAAGCACCGGCUAACUCCGUGCCAGCAGCCGCGGUAAUUC